GCAUGUCAAGGUAAUCAAACUACUAAGCCUAUCUAGUAGUGAUAGUCAUUUCCCGGUUCAAUGUCAUUAUUUCCAACAUGUUCUAGGACCUACAUAGUGUAGUCCAGCUUGUGCCACCUAAGUGUCGGUGGUAGUUCCAGCAUUCCCACUCUACGAAUGAGUUUAUCCCUCCCGACCCCGUAGGUUUCUCGAUAUCGCACGAGCGAACAUAAGUCGCGUAGGCCAAC
rnacentral:lncRNA from 1 species